GAUCCUGGCUCAGGACGAACGCUGGCGGCGUGCUUAACACAUGCAAGUCGAACGGACUGCUCUUCAGCUUGCUGGGGGGUGGUGAGUGGCGAACGGGUGAGUAACACGUGAGUAACCUGCCCUCUUCUUUGGGAUAACUGCCGGAAACGGUUGCUAAUACCGGGUAUUCACUGGUCUCCGCAUGGGGGUUGGUGGAAAGGGGCCUCUUUUGGGGUUUCUGGUGGGGGAUGGGCUCGCGGCUUAUCAGCUUGUUGGUGGGGUGA
rnacentral:rRNA from 1 species